GGAGGUUCACAGGUAUAAAUUAUCAAUUGCAACUUUAGACCAGCUUUUUGGAAAGCUAAAUCAGGAUUGAUUACCCAAAUACAGACCUGCAGUGAGCGAGGGAAAGCAUCUGUAUCCAGGGAACUUACAAAAACGUCAAGUGGCCUAUGAAAACAACUUGAAAGUAGCUAAUGAAGAUACUCAGAGGCCAGUUGAGCUGAAAGUCUUCCCAAGAAAACAGCCCUAUAUUCCAAAUGCUUUAGCUAUAUCCUCUAUCACCAAGAUGACCAAGGACAUGAACCAAAUGCAACAUACACAAAAACAAAUAAGCAAUGAAGUUUAUGAGAAAAGAAGGUUGAAGAACAAUACACCUUUUCUACCACAGCAAUGCUAUUGUACAUAAGUGCUAAUGAUUUACCACUGACCCAAUUUAUUAUCUAGCAUUAGAACCACCUUUCUUUUCAAAAGUAUAACAUGCGCUAUGAUGUGUCUUAUGUUACUUCUUCCUAGGUCUUAAUUUGUCUGAUUGGCCUAUUGGCACAUUUACUGAUCAAAAUCUAUAGUUUUUAUUUCAGUUAAA
rnacentral:lncRNA from 1 species